rnacentral:lncRNA from 1 species
UCGAGCGAUGCUGUGAGAGGAUGGCACUCAGGGCCCCUUAGAGGGCACCCAAGUGUGGUGCAACACUAGGAGAUUGACGCUCAGUGCCUUAGGAAGGAUGCCCAAGCGUGAAUGCGAGGCUUCAACGCUGAGGGCCUCAAAAAGGGGCAACCAGGCGUCCAUGUGAGCCUCUGGCACCGAGGGCCCUAGAAAAGGGCGCUCAGGCGUCCUACGAUCUUCUUUUCUGGUGUUUUCUGAUAACGUUUGAAAAUAUUGUUAUCUGUUAUGUGAUUUUGAUACUAAAAGCACCCUUUUACACUUAGAAACUUGCUUGGACUCAUGCUUUUGCAUUAAGUUAUGUGAAUAAGAGAGUUGAGGUUGAUUUCAAUAAUUUUAUGACUAAUUCCCCU